UACGAAGGGGGCUAGCGUUGCUCGGAAUCACUGGGCGUAAAGCGCACGUAGGCGGCUUUUUAAGUCAGGGGUGAAAUCCUGGAGCUCAACUCCAGAACUGCCUUUGAUACUGGGAAGCUUGAGUCCGGGAGAGGUGAGUGGAACUCCGAGUGUAGAGGUGAAAUUCGUAGAUAUUCGGAGGAACACCAGUGGCGAAGGCGGCUCACUGGCUCGGUACUGACGCUGAGGUGCGAAAGCGUGGGGAGCAAACGGG
rnacentral:rRNA from 1 species